AACGAACGCUGGCGGCAUGCCUAACACAUGCAAGUCGAACGAGAUCUUCGGGUCUAGUGGCGCACGGGUGCGUAACGCGUGGGAAUCUGCCCUUUGGUUCGGAAUAACAGUUGGAAACGACUGCUAAUACCGGAUGAUGACGAAAGUCCCAAGAUUUAUCGCCAGAGGAUGAGCCCGCGUAGGAUUAGCUAGUUAGUGUGGUAAAGGCGCACCAAGGCGACGAUCCUUAGCUGGUCUGAGAGGAUGAUCAGCCACACUGGGACUGAGACACGGCCCAGACUCCUACGGGAGGCAGCAGUGGGGAAUAUUGGACAAUGGGCGAAAGCCUGAUCCAGCAGUGCCGCGUGAGUGAUGAAGGCCUUAGGGUUGUAAAGCUCUUUUACCCGGGAUGAUAAUGACAGUACCGGGAGAAUAAGCUCCGGCUAACUCCGUGCCAGCCGCCGCGGUAA
rnacentral:rRNA from 1 species